UACAGAGGGGGCAAGCGUUGUUCGGAAUUACUGGGCGUAAAGGGCGCGUAGGCGGCCUUCUAAGUCGAACGUGAAAUCCCCGGGCUCAACCCGGGAACUGCGUCCGAUACUGGAAGGCUUGAAUUCGGGAGAGGGAUGCAGAAUUCCAGGUGUAGCGGUGAAAUGCGUAGAUAUCAGGAGGAAUACCGAUGGCGAAGGCAGGUCUCUGGGCUGACACUGACGCUCGUGCACGAAAGCGUGGGGAGCAAGCAGG
rnacentral:rRNA from 1 species